GUGGGGAAUAUUGGACAAUGGGCGCAAGCCUGAUCCAGCCAUGCCGCGUGAGUGAUGAAGGCCUUAGGGUUGUAAAGCUCUUUCACCGAUGAAGAUAAUGACGGUAGUCGGAGAAGAAGCCCCGGCUAACUUCGUGCCAGCAGCCGCGGUAAUACGAAGGGGGCUAGCGUUGUUCGGAUUUACUGGGCGUAACGCGCACGUAGGCGGUUUGUUAAGUCAGAGGUGAAAUCCCGGAGCUCAACUCCGGAACUGCCUUUGAUACUGGCAAGCUAGAGUCCGGAAGAGGUAAGUGGAACUCCUAGUGUAGAGGUGGAAUUCGUAGAUAUUAGGAAGAACACCAGUGGCGAAGGCGGCUUACUGGUCCGGAACUGACGCUGAGGUGCGAAAGCGUGGGGAGCAAACAGGAUUAGAUACCCUUGUAGUCC
rnacentral:rRNA from 1 species